rnacentral:lncRNA from 1 species
CAUUUUAAAAAAUAUUUAUUUUUUAAUUUUUAUUUUAAAAUAUUUUUUCAUGUUUACAUGAUUCAUUUUCUCUCCCUCCCCUUUUCCAUCCCCCCCUCCCAGAGCCAACAAGCAAUGCCACUGGGUUGUACAAAUGUUUUCACUUGAUACCUAUUUCCAUAUUAUUCAUUUUUGCUAUAGAGAUCUUUUAAAACCUAAACUCCAAAUCAUAUACCCAUAUAUACACAUGAUAAGUGAUGCCACAUGUUAAACUACAUUUUGAAAUAUAGUUGUCUUUCUCUGCCAAUCAAAAGUGAGAAGGUUAAGUAAUUGUCUUCCAUGCUAAAUGACAUCUUCACUUAAGGGUAUCCUGGUCAGCAUUUAAUAACCAACUCUCUGAAAAUGCAGGACACAUUUUAAAGUUUAAUCUGAAAUUUAAUAUUUUUUCCUUCACUAUCUUAAUUCUUAAGACAAUUAACAAAACAAUAAAUCAAGCCAACAAAACAACAAAUCAAGGCUGGAUUUGUAUCAUUUGUCAACUUGCCAAAGUAUAAAUGUUCACACUGAAAUUUUAACAAUCAGCUCCUAACAUUCCUCCAGUAGACCCCUGUAUCAGACUUUCCUUCAGUCUUAUGUUUUCGAUACCUGUAAUCCUUUGGGGUUUGAUCUAAACAAGGAGGAAAUGUAUGCUUUGUGUAGAUUUACUGCUGUCAACAUUCAGAUUACUUCCUUAUGUAGAAUGCUGAAUCGUUUUGUUUUUUUUUAGUAAAGCAAGAGGAAGAGGGAAAGGAAAAGGAAGAGGAAACAGGGGGAACCGAUUAGCCAUUUCUUUUAGGUUUCAGCAACUGGAAGCCAAAAGUAAAUCCAAACAGCCAAAGGGAAGAAAAAGAAAGACCACCUCAAACUCAGUCAGGUAUUCCUCUGGUCUAUCUUGUGAGCAGGAGAGAUGCAGCUUCUCUCUUCAAUGGAAUCCAAUCACAACUGACACACCAACUGAUUUUUCCCAGUAAUAGUCUCUGUGUUCAGCCCCUGCUCCUGGGAGAGUUCUAAGUGGAAUCUUGACCUUGCAACCUCUCAUGCAUCUAGCUUUGCAAAAUCUCCUUACUACAUUAUAAAGAGUCAAGGCAUGCUGUAAAAACAGCCUGAGCAUUCUUUCAGGUGGUUAGUCUCCCCAAGGACCAAAUCUAGUUCCUAGUUCUAGAGAGGGUUCCUAACUUUGGGAGGAACAGGGCAAGCACCUUAACCCUCCUAGCUCAGCAUUGAUUGCUAUUUUCAUAUUAUGAGUUAUCAUUUUGGCCCUUUCAUUAUUUAGGCC